rnacentral:rRNA from 1 species
CCAUGGCCAUACCACCCUGAAUGUCCCUGAUCUCGUCUGAUCUUGGAUGCUAAGUAGGGUCAGUGAGUACUUGGCUGGGAAAAGACAGGAUCAGGAAGGCUGUAAGGA